rnacentral:rRNA from 1 species
UGCCAGCCGCCGCGGUAAUACAUAGGCUCCAAGCGUUGUUCGGAAUUACUGGGCGUAAAGCGAGUGUAGGCGGUUCGUUAGGUCGAUUGUGAAAUCUCCCGGCUCAACUGGGAGGGUGCGGUCGAAACCAACGGGCUAGAGUACGGUAGGGGAAAGUAGAAUUCCUGGUGUAGCGGUGAAAUGCGUAGAUAUCAGGAGGAAUACCAGUGGUGAAGACGGCUUUCUGGACCGUUACUGACGCUGAGACUCGAAAGCAUGGGGAGCAAACAGGAUUAGAUA